rnacentral:rRNA from 1 species
CCUACGGGAGGCAGCAGUGGGGAAUAUUGGACAAUGGGGGGAACCCUGAUCCAGCGACGCCGCGUGAGUGAAGAAGUAUCUCGGUAUGUAAAGCUCUAUCAGCAGGGAAGAAAGAAAUGACGGUACCGACUAAGAAGCCCCGGCUAACUACGUGCCAGCAGCCGCGGUAAUACGGAGGGGGCAAGCGUUAUCCGGAUUUACUGGGGGUAAAGGGAGCGUUGCCGGGGCAGCAAGUCUGAUGUGAAGGGUCGGGGCCCAACCCCGGGACUGCAUUGGAAACUGUUGAACUGGAGUACAGGAGAGGUAAGCGGAAUUCCUAGUGUAGCGGUGAAAGGCGUAGAUAUUAGGAGGAACACCAGUGGCGAAGGCGGCUUACUGGACUGUAACUGACGUUGAGGCUCGAAAGCGUGGGGAGCAAACAGGAUUAGAUACCCGGGUAGUC